rnacentral:rRNA from 1 species
GACGUAGGGCGCGAGCGUUGUCCGGAUUUAUUGGGCGUAAAGAGCUCGUAGGCGGCUUGUCGCGUCGAAUGUGAAAUCUCGGGGCUCAACUCCGAGCUUGCAGUCGAUACGGGCAGGCUAGAGUUCGGCAGGGGAGACUGGAAUUCCUGGUGUAGCGGUGAAAUGCGUAGAUAUCCGGAGGAAUACCAAAGGCGAAGGCAGUGUCCUGGCUGGCAUCUGACGCUGAGGCGCGAAAGCUAGGGGGAGCGAACAGG